AUCGAUGAAAAGUGAUUAGAUCUGACUUUUACAUACCAAUAUUUUCAAUAUUGCUAAUAAAAUCGAACUAACAUAUAGUAAUCCCUCCGUCCUCUCAUAAUAUAUGACGUUUUAGAGUUAUGCACAAAAAUUAAAAAAAUAAUUGUAUAAUAUUAAAUAUUAUCAUACUACACACAUUCUCUCUCUCAUCUGUAAUAUUUUC
rnacentral:lncRNA from 1 species